rnacentral:pre_miRNA from 1 species
UGAAAACAUGUUUACAAACAAAAGUUAUUGUGUGCUGGGCAUUAUUCUCAGCGCACAAAAACUUUUGUUUUGUAAAUAUGUUUU